CCCUUGCAGAGUGGCUGGGCUGAUGAGAAGUGACAUUUGUGAGAUGUGUGGCCCGCCCAGUUCUGCCCUUCAUCAGCACCCAGUCAUGGGUGGUGGUUUUACCUCCUGUGUCCUCCCCAAACCCAUGGCCCUGGGCCUCUGUCCUGUGACUCUAGUCCUUGCCACUCAUCCAGCCAGCCCAGCUCAGAUGGUAGCUUCUCCAGGAAGACUUGCCCGGGCCAGGCUGAGCUGUUCCCCCCUCUGCUCUCCUUCCUGCCGGGGACGGCCAUGCCCUGCCGCAGAGACUGUGUGUGCGCCUGCGCUCCUUCUGCACUGUUCGGGAGACAAGAGGUCUUCAUCCCGGCACAACAAGCUUGGAGGCCCAGUCAAGCUCUGACUCUCCCCAACCACCCCAAGAGGAAAGGAACCUGUCAGCUUCCCUAAAAGGGAAAAGGAAAAAGGAAAAAAACGUCAAGGAAAAGCUCUGGUUCCUUCUCAUCUGAAGGCGGAAGAGAGACAGGUUUUGGGCAGAGGCACCUUUGGACCCUGGGGAAGGAAAGCUGUGAGGCCUGAAUUGGCAAACAUUAAAUUCAAGGAAAUUUUAAUGAGCUUGAGCAGCUCUUUGAUAGUCGCUGAUGUUACAAUGGAAAUGGAGCAUUUAAAGAUAAUGUGUCCACGGAC